AAACAUUCAAUUUAAAUUUCAUGCUUUCAUGAAAUGCAACACAUCACAAACAAAUCACAUCAAGGAUGGACUUAUCACCAAUAGUCCUCUACAUAGUCCAAUCGUGCCAGGGGCGUAGAAUGGGCCUCACUGGUCUUUCUCUUAACAUAACAUAACAUAGCAUAACAUUCCAUAGUGCCAGGGGCAUAGAAUGGGCCUCACUGGUCUUUCUCUUAACAUAGUGUCAGGGGCGUAGAAUGGGCCUCACUA
rnacentral:lncRNA from 1 species